rnacentral:sRNA from 1 species
UGUUUAGAAUGUAACAAAAUAGGAUGAC